GGGCUUCCAGAUGCUGAUCUACUGCACGAAUCAACUAAGUCUAGAACAGAAUGACUCUUUCAUUGUCUUCGGUUCUUCCUUCACAUUAUCUUGACCCUGUGCACUGUUUGGCAAUAACUCACAAGUGAGAAUGGCUUAAAAAGACUCUUGUCUUGGCUUAGAGGCGGGUUCUCAGAGAACAUCAAAGAGGCCUCUGGGUCUUGGCGCCAGCAGGAAUGCUAGCAGCGUCUCAGGCCACAGAAGCGUGUCCUGUACCGUGAUGGCUGGUGAGAAGGAGCAGCCAAGGCCACACUCAAAUGACACGACCAGUCUGCAAGGGUUGGUGCACCGGGAAGUGAAUACAUGGAAGACUGGUUGAGUUGGGUCAGUUUGGAGAUGCUGUUAAUUACCAUGCUGCCCAGCGGAAUGACCUUCUCUGUGGGGACAUUGAACACAAUGAGAGACAAGGAGCAACAGCCUAUUGCAGUACUCGGCACAAGGGCUUCAACUUGAGUCAUCUAAAGCCCCACAAUUGUUUCGUCUUUGGAAUAAGGAAUCAGAUGAAAGGUAAAAAUAAGCGAGUUCCUGCAUUACAGUAUGAAAAGAAAAGGGGAGGAAAGCAUGUGGGUCACUGGUGAGUAGCCCCAAUGCAUUUGUUAGGGUGGAAUGCUGGGAAAUCUAGGCAUGGGACCUUGUUUGGAAAAGGAUUUAAAACUACUUCCCCGCCCUCUCUCCUUUGCUUCACCAGCAUUCUGCACAGUGAUGCUUUCCCCAGGAGCAGUGCUGUUGUUAGGGACCACGGAGUCACUGUGGACUCUUCCGAACCCCGUGUGGUGCUCUGGGCUGCAAUCUUUACAGCAGCAGCAGGCCCAGGACUUUUCUCAUAGAGAAAGCUGUUGAGUGGGUUCUAACUGCCAACCUUUCCGUGAUUAGCUGAGUGCCUGUUAAAAGAUUUCCCAAUG